rnacentral:lncRNA from 1 species
CGCGAUUAGGACGUGAACUUUAAAUUAUCGCAGUUAACUUUCAAAGCUCAAGUUUCAGGUGUGGGAUUUAUUUCAGUACAUGCACGUGGUUAAUAUUUGUCCAUUUUAAUAUUAUGUGUUUACCGUAUGUGUUGUAAAAAUAUUUAUCGCUAGGGGCCAGCAUAAUUGGUCCAGGACUUCACCGUCCUUGGUAUGCCACAAAGCGAUUUCAUGUUACAGGGUUGCAACCAUUAUAUUGUCGCCAGGGAUCCAUAUAUAGGGUCCGGGACAUUAAAGUCCUUGGAGUUGCCACAGUGCGUAUGGAAGUUAUGUUACGUUAUGACAAUAUGUGUUACCAUUUUAUUAACAUGGACAACUAUUGCAUGUUUCCACACUGAGUGUACCCUGUAUGCUCAUCCCAUAUUCAACAGUUUCAGGUGAUUGAUAUUGGAGGCGCGUGGAGAGUCGAAUGGGCGCGUCGAAUCUAUUUAAAAUAAAUGUUUCUUAAAACAUAUUAUGUUAUUUCAUGUUAUAUCUUUUGGUUAUGUAAACUCUGAAAUUCUAUACUAUUUGAGAUUUGUGUGUGAUUUAUUUAAAUAAAUGUUGUUAUAUUAUUUUAAUGUC